AUUGAACGCUGGCGGCAUGCUUUACACAUGCAAGUCGAACGGUAACAGGCCUUCGGGCGCUGACGAGUGGCGAACGGGUGAGUAAUGCAUCGGAACGUGCCCAGUCGUGGGGAUAACGCAGCGAAAGCUGUGCUAAUACCGCAUACGAUCUAUGGAUGAAAGCGGGGGACCGUAAGGCCUCGCGCGAUUGGAGCGGCCGAUGUCAGAUUAGGUAGUUGGUGGGGUAAAGGCUCACCAAGCCAACGAUCUGUAGCUGGUCUGAGCGGACGACCAGCCACACUGGAACUGAGACACGGUCCAGACUCCUACGGGAGGCAGCAGUGGGGAAUUUUGGACAAUGGGCGCAAGCCUGAUCCAGCAAUGCCGCGUGCAGGAAGAGGGCCUUCGGGUUGUAAACUGCUUUUGUACGGAACGAAACGGCGAGCUCUAAUACAGUUUGCUAAUGACGGUACCGUAAGAAUAAGCACCGGCUAACUACGUGCCAGCAGCCGCAGUAAAAC
rnacentral:rRNA from 1 species